rnacentral:lncRNA from 1 species
UCAACUUUCAAUUAUUGUUUUUUACCUAAAUGCAUAUUUUAAACCUGUGAGAUCUCAUAAUUUCCAAGAAAAAAGGAAGUUAUUAUUUGACUGUCUACUGUACAUAUAUUGAUACCCUGGUAAAAAAUAAUGUCCACUAUUAAAUAUUUUAGUAAAUUGAUAUAAAAGUAUAUGGAGAUUUCAUUAAAUCCAUAUAUAUUAGUAAUUGGUUCUUUUUAAAGGUAUAAUGGGGAAAUGGAACAAAUGCAAUAGUCUCUUUUUAACGGUUCUAAAAUAAAGAGACAAUUAUUUUCAAAAAUUAGAAAUUUUUGUAAACUUUUCUUCGACAUAUUGUAUAAAAAGGGAUUUGAUGGGGGUUAACUUAUUGUUGGGAAGAACAAUAUGUCGUAAAAAUUCAGUGCGCUUCGCAUUGUUUUCCACGCAACAUACAUCAUUUUAUUUUUUUUGCAUAUAUUUUUUAUAUAGUCUAUCAAAAAUUUACGGAAGGGAAAUUUGAAAUAUUUUGUCAUUUUAGAUACAAAGAGGUCAGUUGUAAGUAUUGUUGCAAUAGUCACCUUAUUUCAAAUUAGAGAAUUAAUCAGAAAUCAAAAAUGUUUAAAUCUCCCCGAUUUUCAACUAUCUAUUCAAGUAAUUAUUUAUUUUUUAAAGCUGUGGUUUUAAUGGAGUAAAUUGAUAGAGAAACAAGAAUGAUAUUAAGAACUUGUGCAUUUUUUUUUCUCUUAUCGAAAGCCAUCAUAAAAACUAGAAAACCAACUACAACUACAUUAACGACAACGUCUACCACAACGACGAUAUCUACAACAACAACAAGGACGGCAACAACUACCACUGUCAUAACCACACUUCGCGUGUAAUCUAACAAUUACACGUCAAAACUGUGAUAAGGAUGGCUAUUACUAUGUCCAUCAACGCAAAAAAAAAAAAAAAACAAUUCAAAGAGAAUUUUUCAAAGGGAAGCGCCAAACCAGACAAAUAACAGAGGGGAACAAUUAGAGGGUCAAAAUUUCAAUCAAUGAAAUUACGCCAAGUUUGUAAUUUAUCUUUGAGUACAGAAUACAAAACUGAUUUCAGUUUUUUUUUGGGUUGUUAGGUUUCAGAAAUAUUUUAAAUUAUAGUUAUUCGGAGCUAUUAUCGUUCAAAGACAUUUUUCAUCAUUAGAACAAGCACAAGUAUGAUGAAUAAAAAAAAUACUUUUUAUGAUUAUAAAAUUGAUUCUUUAUCAUCUUCUGAACUCGACAAAUUUCCAUUUUUAGGCUAAAAAAUGAUGAAAAACGACACUUUUUUGAGGCCAUUAUAGCUUUUUCAUCAUUCAUAGUGAUAAGGAAUAUCAAAGUGUAUAAUAUAGAAAAAUUUUCCAUUUUUUAUUUAAAAAAAAGACCAAUUUUAUACAUUCCUCAAGACUUUUUAGGUCGAUUUGUUAUUUUUUAAGUUAUCCUAUUUUUUAGAGGAGUGAACUAGAAAAAUCACUAUAUUAUCUUAAUAUUGUUUAUGAUUUCAAUAUCUUCAUAAUGACGUUAUAUCUCGUAAUAUUGUUUAUGAUUUCAAUGUCUUCAUAAUGACGUUAUAUCUUGUAAUAAAGAAUAAUAAUUAAUAUCA